CAUGAUCCUGCUCUACAACAGCAUUGCUGUCCCCAUUUUAAUUCAAAACUCAGACAGAAAUGUUAGCUGUUGUAACCUUCAAUAUUAUUUGUGCUGAAGGUUUCCCACACAGACAAUAAAAAACAAGGAAUUAUCCAGGGGACACAACAUAAUCCAAAAGCCAUACCCAGAGAAGUCCAUGAAAAUGCGCGAACAUUUUAUCCUCACAGCCGAUAUGGAUCACGCAGAAAUUUACCCUGAGAAAUUAAAGCUCAUAUACGUAGGUAAUGACCCAAACUUCUUCAAAGUGUUCAUGGAAAAUCCAGACGGUCAUUUCCAGCUCACACUCAGACAUGAAUCUGACACAAUGUGGACCUCUGCAAUUCAAAAAGAUGACUAUCAAAACACUGGUGAUAUUCUGGUGAUUUAUGCUGACACACUGUAU